rnacentral:rRNA from 1 species
GGUUAAGCGAAUAAGCGUACACGGUGGAUGCCUAGGCAGUCAGAGGCGAUGAAGGACGUGCUAAUCUGCGAUAAGCGCCGGUAAGGUGAUAUGAACCGUUAUAACCGGCGAUUUCCGAAUGGGGAAACCCAGUGCAAUUCGUUGCACUAUCAUUACCUGAAUACAUAGGGUAAUGAAGCGAACCGGGAGAACUGAAACAUCUAAGUACCCCGAGGAAAAGAAAUCAAACGAGAUUCCCCCAGUAGCGGCGAGCGAACGGGGAGCAGCCCAG